CGGCACUUCGCGCGAGACUUCGCGGAGCCUUGUGAUGAUCUCAGUCGAGGGUAUCCCUUUGUCUCUGUGUGGGCUCAGAAGAGGAUCCAAUGAAAAGUAAGGAUGUAGGAGAAACGGAUUUGCAAAAAAGGAGUUUUUGUACUGUGGAAGGAUUGAUCCUCUAGAAUUAUAACCUGAGCCAAGAAGCAGAGAAGCAGCAAAUGUUGAAUGAAAGCUCCUUUGCCAUACAAGAAAGAAUUUGCUAUUUGCAAUGGAAGAUUAGAAAAUUACUAAAGACUACUACUACCUGUGAA